AAUACUCCCGCCGGCGACCGGCGCACGGGUGAGUAACACGUAUGAAACCUGCCCGUAGCAGGGGGAUAAGCGGAAGAAAUUCCGUCUAAUACCGCGUAACAACCCGAGGAGGCAUCUCCUCGGGUUUAAAGGAAGCGAUUCCGGCUACGGAUGGUCAUGCGUCGCAUUAGGCUAGUUGGCGGGGUAACGGCCCACCAAGGCGACGAUGCGUAGGGGUUCUGAGAGGAAGGUCCCCCACACUGGUACUGAGACACGGACCAGACUCCUACGGAAGGCAGCAG
rnacentral:rRNA from 1 species